CACUGCUAUCGGGGUUCGAUUAAGCCAUGCGAGUCGAGAGGGUUCAGACCCUCGGCGCACUGCUCAGUAACACGUGGAUAACCUACCCUGAGGAGGGGGAUAACCCCGGGAAACUGGGGAUAAUACCUCAUAGGUUUCAGAUGCUGGAAUGCUCUGAAACCGAAAUGCUCCGGCGCCUCAGGAUGGAUCUGCGGCCGAUUAGGUUGUUGUUGGGGUAACGGCCCAACAAGCCCGUCAUCGGUACGGGUUGUGAGAGCAAGAGCCCGGAGAUGGAUUCUGAGACACCAAUCCAGGCCCUACGGGGCGCAGCAGGCGCGAAACCUUUACAAUGCGAGCAAUCGUGAUAAGGGAACCCCGAGUGCCUGAAACCAGGCUGUUCAGGUGUUUAAAAAGCACCUGGAGAAAGGGCCGGGCAAGACCGGUGCCAGCCGCCGCGGUAAUACCGGCGGCUCGAGUGGUGGCCGCUAUUAUUGGGCUUAAAGCGUUCGUAGCUGGGUUGUUAAGUCUCUUGGGAAAUCUCACGGCUCAACCGUGAGGCGACUAAGAGAUACUGGCAAUCUUGGGA
rnacentral:rRNA from 1 species